AUGACCUGACCAUGUUAACUUCUCCCCAUCUAAACAACAACUUAGUCAAUAUGACCUGACCAUGAUAUUCACACCCCAUCUUCACAUGCACAACCCCAGGUGAGGUUUAGGUCUAAGAGAAUGGUUGGAACCAAAUACAAUAUGACUAGACCAUGAUAACUUCACCUCAUAAACAACAACUUAGUCAAUAUGACCUGACCAUGAUAUUCACACCCCAUCUUCACAUGCACAACCCCAGGUGAGGUUUAGGUCUCAGAGAUGGUUGGAACCAAAUACAAUUUGACCUGACCAUGAUAUUCACACCCCAUCUUCACAUGCACAACCCCAGGUGAGGUUUAGGUCUCAGAGAUGGUUGGAACCAAAUACAAUAUGCUUUUAGAUGUAUUUACACCCAGUUUAUUCUGUAAGUCCUUUUGCUAAGAGUCUCUGUGAGCUCCCAUGGCUGUAGAUACUGAUGUGUAGAGUCUGCAGUCAUCAGCAUACAUAGUAAUUUUAGCUUCUUGUAAGACAAAUGGCAAAUAAUUUGUAAAAAUAGAGAAGAGUAAGGUGUGUUGGUUUGAUGACAUGUUGAGGGUUUCACACUCUGUGGGGUUAUAUUUACUUUACCACCUACUGUUAGUGCUUUCAUCUUAAGAUGGCUGAGAGACCGUCACUUUAAAAACGGGCUCGUAUUGUCAAUUAAAAUGUUAUAAUGUAGAAUGUUUUGCCAAUGUUAUAGGUAGAGUUUUCAUGUUGGAAUUCAAUGUUAUAUGUAGAGUUUUCAUGUAAUUCAAUGUAAUUAAAAUUGAACGCAUAUGUGUUUGUAGUUAAUACAUGCCAAUGUAUUUAGGUUUUUAAUGAGAAUAAAUACGAAGCUCCAAUGAA